rnacentral:rRNA from 1 species
AACGAACGCUGGCGGCAGGCCUAACACAUGCAAGUCGAGCGGACAUCUUCGGAUGUUAGCGGCGGACGGGUGAGUAACGCGUGGGAACGUGCCCUUUGCUUCGGAAUAGCCUCGGGAAACUGGGAGUAAUACCGGAUGUACCCUUUGGGGGAAAGAUUUAUCGGCAAAGGAUCGGCCCGCGUUGGAUUAGGUAGUUGGUGGGGUAAUGGCCUACCAAGCCGACGAUCCAUAGCUGGUUUGAGAGGAUGAUCAGCCACACUGGGACUGAGACACGGCCCAGACUCCUACGGGAUGCAGCAGUGGGGGAUCUUAGACAAUGGGGGAAACCCUGAUCUAGCCAUGCCGCGUGAGCGAUGAAGGCCUUAGGGUUGUAAAGCUCUUUCACCGGGGAAGAUAAUGACGGUACCCGGAGAAGAAGCCCCGGCUAACUCCGUG